GGAUGUGAGGCGGAUCUGGCUGUGGCAUCUGUCACUCCAUUGAUUGCCAGGGUUGAUUUGGCUGAUCUGGCUGGCUAGAUGGGUGUCCCCUUCCUCACUCACUGCCCCAUGUGCAUUCCUCCUGAAGCUGUGUGCUAGGUUGAAGAGGAUGACCAUCCCCGAUAGAGAAGGACAGGUCUUUCGUUAAGGGUAUAUGAGUAGCUGCAUUCCCCUGCUAGAACCUGCAAACAGGCUAUCAAGAAUUGUAGUAUUUUGCUUGAAGUCAUAUAGCUAGUAAGUUGGUGAAUGAAUUUGAAUCAGAUCUAACUUC
rfam:Pongo abelii chromosome 10.